AAUAAAGUGGCUGAGUUGUAGGCGGUGAAUUGUAAAUUCAUUUACGAGAGAAAUCUUCUUUAUUA
rnacentral:tRNA from 1 species